CGGGCCCCAAUUAUCUUCUUCCGGAGGAUAAUUACUUAUCAUUUUUCUACUUUAAGCAGUCUUUUCCCACGCCUGCAGCCGUGCUCAGCUUCCAGCUGCAGCAAAUUUAAAACCACACCAGUCCAUCGGUGUUAGUUAUGCCUAGGCUUUCUAUUUCAUCGCGCCAGUCCGACGGUGUUCGAUACAACGCCCCCAGGGCUGCUUGAGGACCUAAUCUGGCACCUGAUGUUACUCAUUUACUGGGAAAAUCAUCCUUUCAUUAAUAAAGCUGGAAUUGGUCAUUUAUCUGUCCUAAGGCAUCCUUUUAUCAGAACUGUCUUGGAUGGGAACAUACAGCGUUCUUUCAGUGACCUGCUAGCAGUUCUGUUCAAAGAUGCUGUCAGACCUAAGAAGAUUUUGCAGCA